AUUUUUAUAUUAAUUUUUGUAAUACUGUAUUCUGUUACUUUGCACGAUUAAAGUCUAAUUUAGUUUGCGACAUCGAUUAAUUUGUGACCUUUAUUUUGCAUUGUAUUCAUUUUAUGCUUUUUUAAUUUGAGAAUCUCUUUCCGAUCUGAAUUCGAAAGUUCUUUGAGACAUAAAUAUACGAAAAUAAGUGUGUAUCCAUGCAUUGUUGAGAAUACAAAUCAAGAAUCCCUAAUCCAACAUGUUUGGAUUGGAGAAUGUUUCGGAUUUUAGAAUAUAUGAUAUGAUUGAGUGUCAAAGAAGUGGAAAAAAUUCGCUAUCGGAUCUGUUUGAUAUUUUUAACAAUACAAUACUGUAUUUAUACAACAGGAAAAUAAGCAGUCACAGACAUCUGGCCUGGCCAUGCUUGAUGUUUACUGAAUUAGGAUAUCGUGCCACAGUUGUGCGCGCAUUAUUGCGUUAUCUUUCAAGACGUUGUGAGCCAUAGUCCUAUAUCAAAAGUUCUCUCUUGUAAAAGCUAAAUUACGGAUUUCGAAUUGGAGAUACUCAAUCUGUAACCGACAAGUUGAAACUAGUAAUUACCGGUUAUAAUUUAUUUUGUUUUUAACUCUGCCAAUUAAGCGUUUCACUAUAAGAUAAGAAUAGUCUUAUUCGUAUCUGAUAGAUAAAAAUAUGACGUUUUUAGUGAUUUUUGCAUAUUUUACGCCCCUUUCGAAUCAGGGAGAUUACUAAGGGGCGGGGCAAUUCCAACCAUAGGCUGCAACCACAGCCGUGGAGGGGUGCCGGAUGGGGAUGGCUGGGCCGGGCCGGGCCGGGCCCAGCAUCGCGAAAAACUUUUCAGGAGUUAUCAGAUCCAAGAUGCGAACCAGAGUCCUGCUUGGCACGCCGACAGCGUUACCACUCGGCUAUCCGACCGCCGACGUUUUUAGGUUAAAAACAAAAUAUCAAUACUUAUAGUGAAAUACGUUAUACUUCUAAUUAUCCAGAUUGCAAAUUCACCGGUCCUAAUCCGGAAGUAAUAUUUAAUUACCACUGUUUUUAUCUUAGAUAUCGUACCUGAAAGAUUUUUAAACGCUCCAGAUUCAUUUCUUUGUUAUACUUACAAGGAACCUCUACAGUUUUGUGAAUUCGAUUGCUGAAAAUGUAUAGACCAAUCGAU
rnacentral:lncRNA from 1 species